CACUGUUGUGUUGUAAUGUUGGAAUGAUAUUGUGCGGAAAAAUAACCACUGAUGUAUUCCAUUUUCCCUUAUGUCAUGGCAAUUUAAAAGAUCCAUAUGGAGGAAGAAUUUCAUUUAAUGUAGCAGGUUCAAUCCACAAAGAUGAAAAAGUUGUCAGAAUACCCAUUACGAUUCCGUAUUGCAUGGACCUAACCUACGUAAAUGUGGCGGUGGACAACCCAGUCGGUCCUCCGGUGGUGUCUCUGGACCGAGACCUGUACGUGGUCACCAUCAAAUACCGCGAGUCUCAGAAAAGCGCGUCAACCUAUUCGGUCACCGCCAAGACUGUUCCUAUCAAGCAAUGCUACGAUUUCAACAAUUAUGGUUAUUAAAUCAAUUAAAGAUUUCAUUA